UUAAAGUCUAACCUGCCCACUGAAAAAUUUUAAAUGGCCGCAGUAUUCUAACUGUGCAAAGGUAGCAUAAUCAUUAGUCUUUUAAUUGAAGGCUGGAAUGAAUGGUUGGACGAAGUAUUAACUGUUUCAAUAAAAUUUUUUUUAGAAUUUUAUUUUUUAGUCAAAAAGCUAAAAUUUAUUUAAAAGACGAGAAGACCCUAUAAAUCUUUAUAUUUUAUUUAUUUUAAUUAUAAAGAUUAUUUUUAUUAAUAUAAAUUAAAAUAUUUUAUUGGGGUGAUAUUAAAAUUUAAUGAACUUUUAAUUUAUUAAAUACAUUGAUUUAUGAAUAAUUGAUCCAUUAAUAAUGAUUAGAAAUUUAAGUUACUUUAGGGAUAACAGCGUAAUUUUUUUGGAGAGUUCUUAUCGAUAAAAAAGAUUGCGACCUCGAUGUUGGAUUAAGAUAUAAUUUUGGGUGUAGCCGUUCAAAUUUUAAGUCUGUUCGACUUUUAAAUUCUUACAUGAUCUGAGUUCAAACCGGCGUAAGCCAGGUUGGUUUCUAUCUUUAAAAAAUUAUAAUAUUUUAGUACGAAAGGACCAAAUAUUAGAAUGAUUUAUUUUAAUAAAGAAUAUUAUUAAUAUUA
rnacentral:rRNA from 1 species